AGAACAGUACACCUCCAUCUGUUGGAGGGAAAAGAGACAGAAGUUACUACCUGGACGAAUGUGGAUUCCCUACAGCUCACCUGUUGAGGAGGUGAAGAGGCAGUGCUGCAGCCUGUGACACACCUUGUGAAGAACAGCUCGAAAUAAUCCACAUACCAGGGUGGUGCAUCUUGGGGCGGCCUGCCCUGAACCCCAUCAUAUGUUUGCCAACUAAUCCGAAGACCAGCAUCAACUCAGCUUUCCUACAUUUGGGAAAUUAGAGAUCAAGAAAAUUCAAGGUAAAGUCUCAAGAAAAAUCGCUGAUAUCCGGGAUUACAUCCUCCCUGAAUCAACCCAGUGCUCCAUCCUCCAAAAGAGCGGCUAAGUUCCAGGUUUGGAAGAAAAUGAACAGAUGUCCAUCUCAACAAAUAAUCCCCAGUGCGCCUUAGAGUAUGGGCAGAGGCUUCAAAUGUGUUCUGAUUUGAUUUUUCACUAACGUCUUUGACACCCACUCUUGGGGGUAAGCACAUUUCCCAGGUUCUUUGGGUCAACAAAAAGGUGGCAACCCUAUACAGCCUUGUAUCACAACAUGCCAUUUGUCAAACCAUUUUUCAAAAGUAAAUGUAAAGUGAGGAAUCUAUUUUAGACUGAGAGAAAAGACAAGGUCAAUAAGUAAAAAUUAUGAGUAAUACUGGAUUUUUUUAAAUGUAAUUUUCUAUCAAAGACAUAAACUGAAAACUAACACUUGGAUGAUUCUAGGCAGAAGUCCUUCUGCACCAUUUAUAAUGAAUAUAAAAUAUUGAUUUAUAACCAAUACAACAUUCUUUUGACUAUAAUCAAUGUGGUCAAAGCUUUAUAAAUUUCUUUCCCCCAACAGAGAUUAUACAUGACCUUUAAAACUGCAACCAAUUUUCUCAGCAAGAACACUUCUUUCAAGAUAACGCAAAACACUCAUCUAGCCUGAACCAUGAAAAGUUUGGAUCUAGAACCCUAGACAAAUAAGAUUCCACUACAAAUAUUAAUAAAAAUAAAAUCCCAACUGAUCAGUCU